rnacentral:rRNA from 1 species
AACCUCUUGGCGCAUGCCACUGAAUAUUAUAAAAAUCUCUUCGGAAUUGCUCCUGGAAACCUUUGUCAUAUUGAUGGAAAUCUGUGGCCACUUGAGGAAAAAAUUUCUUCUGAAGACAAUGAUGAACUGACUAAACCCUUCUCUAUUGAGGAAAUUAAAAAAGUCCUAUUUGACAUGAAAUCUAAUCGGGCGCCUGGACCUGAUAAUAUCCCGGCCGAGUUUUAUCAA